AAACUAACAAGGAUUCCCCUAGUAACGGCGAGUGAAGCGGGAUGAGCUCAAGCUUAAAAUCUCUGUGCCAGUUUGGCAUGGCGAAUUGUAGUCUAUGGAGGCGCUAUCAGUGCGAUUGUUCGGGGUAAGUUCCUUGGAAGAGGACAGCAUCGAGGGUGAUACUCCCGUAUGUACCUGUUCAGUCGCGCGUACGAUACGUUUUCUUUGAGUCGCGUUGUUUGGGAAUGCAGCGCAAAGUAGGUGGUAAAUUCCAUCUAAAGCUAAAUAUUGGUGCGAGACCGAUAGCGAACAAGUACCGUGAGGGAAAGAUGAAAAGAACUUUGAAAAGAGAGUUAAAGAGUACCUGAAACUGCUGAAAGGGAACCGAAUCGUUUCCAGUGUCUAUAAUCCAUGGUAUAUUUCAUUGGUGUGUAAGUGCGUGCAGCGUUUUGGAAGUAGUUUUCUGCUCCUGUCGUUGUUGUGCAUUUGCCUGCUGGUGCCCUGUGCUGUGGUGGGACGUCAGAGUCAGUUCGUGUGUUGCGGGAAAUGGUUAUUGGGGAGGUAGGUCACUUCGGUGGCUGUUAUAUCCUGAUAACUAGUCGUCGUGGCUGGGACUGAGGUGCCUACAACGUGCUUUUGAGUCUGCGGGCUUCUCGUGUUGCUGUUUGCUUGGAUAGCUUGCUAUGUUUGUAAAUAAGUCGUGCGAUUGAGACCUGUAGUAACUUGUUGCCGUUCGGGACUUUGACGAAAUGGAGCGAUCCGAC
rnacentral:rRNA from 1 species